GAUGAACGCUGGCGGUAUGCUUAACACACGCAAGUCGAACGGUCACUUCGGUGAUAGUGGCGGACGGGUGAGUAACGCGUGAGAAUCUGUCUUCAGGUCGGGGACAACAGUUAGAAAUGACUGCUAAUACCGGAUGUGCCUUUGGGUGAAAGAUUUAUUGCCUGAAAAAGAGCUCGCGUCAGAUUAGCUAGUAGGUGGUGUAAGAGACUACCUAGGCUCCGAUCUGUAGCUGGUCUGAGAGGACGAUCAGCCACACUGGAACUGAGACACGGUCCAGACUCCUACGGGAGGCAGCAGUGGGGAAUUUUCCGCAAUGGGCGAAAGCCUGACGGAGUAAUACCGCGUGAGGGACGAAGGCUUUUGGGUCGUAAACCUCUUUUCUCAAGGAAGAUGAUGACGGUACUUGAGGAAUAAGCAUCGGCUAACUCUGUG
rnacentral:rRNA from 1 species